rnacentral:rRNA from 1 species
AAGGCGUAACGAUUUGGGCACUGUCUCAACAACAGACUCGGUGAAAUUGUAAUUCCGGUGAAGAUGCCGGAUACCUGCGACAGGACGGAAAGACCCCAUGGAGCUUUACUGUAGCUUGACAUUGGGUCUUGGUACUACAUGUACAGGAUAGGUGGGAGGCUUUGAAACCAGGACGCCAGUUUUGGCGGAGCCAUCCUUGGGAUACCACCCUUGUAGUACUGGGACUCUAACCAUAGGCCAUGAAUCUGGUCUUGG